rfam:Canis lupus familiaris chromosome 6, whole genome shotgun sequence.
ACCUGGCUGGCUCAGUCAGUGGAGCAGGUGACUCUUGAUCUCAGUGUUAUGAGUUCAAGCCCCAUGUUGGGUG